CCCCAAGCUUCCAUCUUCUUCUUCCCUCUUUUCUCUCUCUCCCUCUCUUGGAAACCGUCCACCAUGGGAGCUCUCUCCCUCCAUUUUUGUUCUUCUUAAAGCUUGAUUUUCCAUGCUUUCUCCUCCCCAAAACCCAUAGCUCACUUCACAAAAAAUUUAGCCCACACCAUAAGGAAGCUUUAGAUACCCAUAAGAAGAAGAAAGGUUAAAGUUUGAAGUGGGUCACAAGAGGUACUGAAGAUCAGCAGCCGCCACAGUAGUAUUCAGACAGAGUUCCGACUAGAUCUGCCACCGAUCAGCGUCACCUCACCAGUCUUUUGUAUUUUGGUAGGGCCCAUGUGUAGACUAGUAUUUUGGUUCAUUAUGUCUAGUCAUGAUGUAAUUACUAGUUUAUGAUGUAUUUAUUUUGGACUUGAAAUGAAAACUUAUAAUUUAUUAUC